rnacentral:rRNA from 1 species
AGGAUUAACGCUGGCGGCGUGCCUGACACAUGCAAGUCGAACGAGGCCGCAAGGCCGAGUGGCGGACGGGUGAGUAACACGUGACCAACCAACCUCGAAGUUGGGAAUAGCUCUGCGAAAGUAGGGGUAAUACCGAAUGUGGCCCAGGGCGGGCAUCCGCCUUGGUCUAAAGAUUCAUCGCUUCGAGACGGGGUCGCGGCCUAUUAGCUUGUUGGUGAGGUAACGGCUCACCAAGGCGAUGAUGGGUAGCUGGUCUGAGAGGACGACCAGCCACACUGGGACUGAGACACGGCCCAGACUCCUACGGGAGGCAGCAGUGAGGAAUCUUCCGCAAUGGGCGAAAGCCUGACGGAGCAACGCCGCGUGUGGGAUGGAAGACUCUAGGGUUGUAAACCACUGGUCGGAGGGGACGAUCGUGACGGUACCCUCAAGAAACGCCCCGGCUAACUACGCGCCAGCAGCCGC